AAGUCGUAACAAGGUAACCGUAGGUGAACCUGCGGUUGGAUCAUUAAAAAAUAUUUUGGUCUCGUGCCAAAUCAACACUUGUGUGCACCAUUGUCUGUAUUUGGUAGUUCGAGCGCGCUCCGGGAGCUUCAACAACUUCCGCUAUGGGGCGCCUACCCUUGCAGGAAACUGCUGUGGGUUGGGCUACCGCCUUUUUUUGCAAUAACCUUUUGUUUGUUCCUACCAGCCUGAACGAAGAGUUAAUCUUUACUGAUUAAUGAUUUGAAAACAACUUUUGACAACGGAUCUCUUGGCUCUC
rnacentral:misc_RNA from 1 species